GUGUGUUCAUUUUUAUGGCCAUUGAUCAGUAACUUAAAACACCAGUUUGGGCCUGUGGGUGUUCUUCAUCCAGCGGUUAAUGAAUUUGUUGAGUUAAUUGCAACAUUGGAGGUUUACUUGAUAGCAUUUAAUUGAACGCAAAGGUCAUAAAUCAUGAGCAUUUGCGUUCCCAAGCGACUUUAGGGCUCAUCUAUCUAAGAGUUUUUGUUUUGUCUCGUAAUUGCUCACUGAAUCCCCACACUGUCAUUAGCCAAUUGUUUAGUCUCUCCACGAAUCUGAACCUUCCUAGGGUCUUAUUAUAUUGACUUGGAUGCUUCCUCUGGUCUCAAAAAUAAAUUGCAUAAUUUGCAAGUUUCAACAACUAGGGUUCUUAAAUCAUUUAAUUAUUCGGCAAGGUAUUAUUUUUAUGCAUAGAAGCCUCCAUUACCCAUAUU
rnacentral:misc_RNA from 1 species